AUUAUUACGGCUUAAUGGUUAAGCGCUUGGCUUCCGAACCAAGAGUCAUGGGUUGGAAUCUCAGUAAAUAUU
rnacentral:tRNA from 1 species